rnacentral:rRNA from 1 species
AUUGAACGCUGGCGGCAGGCCUAACACAUGCAAGUCGAGCGGUAGCACAGAGAGCUUGCUCUCGGGUGACGAGCGGCGGACGGGUGAGUAAUGUCUGGGAAACUGCCUGAUGGAGGGGGAUAACGACUGGAAACGGUAGCUAAUACCGCAUAACGUCGCAAGACCAAAGUGGGGGACCUUCGGGCCUCAUGCCAUCAGAUGUGCCCAGAUGGGAUUAGCUAGUAGGUGGGGUAAUGGCUCACCUAGGCGACGAUCCCUAGCUGGUCUGAGAGGAUGACCAGCCACACUGGAACUGAGACACGGUCCAGACUCCCACGGGAGGCAGCAGUGGGGAAUAUUGCACAAUGGGCGCAAGCCUGAUGCAGCCAUGCCGCGUGUAUGAAGAAGGCCUUCGGGUUGUAAAGUACUUUCAGCGAGGAGGAAGGCGUUAAGGUUAAUAACCUUAGCGAUUGACGUUACUCGCAGAAGAAGCACCGGCUAACUCCGUGCCAGCCGCCGCCGUAA